GACGAACGCUGGCGGCGUGCUUAACACAUGCAAGUCGAACGGAAAGGCCCUGCUUUUGUGGGGUGCUCGAGUGGCGAACGGGUGAGUAACACGUGAGUAACCUGCCCUUGACUUUGGGAUAACUUCAGGAAACUGGGGCUAAUACCGGAUAGGAGCUCCUGCUGCAUGGUGGGGGUUGGAAAGUUUCGGCGGUUGGGGAUGGACUCGCGGCUUAUCAGCUUGUUAGUGGGGUAGUGGCUUACCAAGGUUUUGACGGGUAGCCGGCCUGAGAGGGUGACCGGCCACAUUGGGACUGAGAUACGGCCCAGACUCCUACGGGAGGCAGCAGUGGGGAAGAUUGCACAAUGGGCGGAAGCCUGAUGCAGCAGCGCCGCGUGCGGGAUGACGGCCUUCGGGUUGUAAACCGCUUUCGCAUGUGACGAAGCGUGAGUGACGGUAAUGGGUAAAGAAGCACCGGCUAACUACGUG
rnacentral:rRNA from 1 species